rnacentral:rRNA from 1 species
AUUGAACGCUGGCGGCAUGCCUUACACAUGCAAGUCGAACGGCAGCACGGGAGCAAUCCUGGUGGCGAGUGGCGAACGGGUGAGUAAAGUAUCGGAACGUGCCCAGUCGUGGGGGAUAACGUAGCGAAAGUUACGCUAAUACCGCAUACGAUCUAUGGGUGAAAGCGGGGGAUCGCAAGACCUCGCGCGAUUGGAGUGGCCGAUAUCAGAUUAGGGAGUUGGUGGGGUAAAGGCUCACCAAGCCGACGAUCUGUAGCUGGUCUGAGAGGACGACCAGCCACACUGGGACUGAGACACGGCCCAGACUCCUACGGGAGGCAGCAGUGGGGAAUUUUGGACAAUGGGCGAAAGCCUGAUCCAGCCAUGCCGCGUGCAGGAUGAAGGCCUUCGGGUUGUAAACUGCUUUUGUACGGAACGAAAAGGUUUGGCCUAAUAAGCUGAGCUCAUGACGGUACCGUAAGAAUAAGCACCGGCUAACUACGUGCCAGCAGCCGCGGUAA